CCUACGGGAGGCAGCAGUGGGGAAUAUUGCACAAUGGGGGAAACCCUGAUGCAGCGACGCCGCGUGAGUGAAGAAGUAAUUCGUUACGUAAAGCUCUAUCAGCAGGGAAGAAAAUUACGGUACCUGAGUAAGAAGCCCCGGCUAACUACGUGCCAGCAGCAGCGGUAAUACGUAGGCGGCAAGCGUUAUCCGGAUUUACUGGGUGUAAAGGGAGCGUAGACGGUUUGCCAAGUCUGGAGUGAAAUGCUGCAGCUUAACUGUGAAACUGCAUUGGAAACUGGCGAACUAGAGUUCGGGAGGGGUAAGCGGAAUUCGUGGUGUAGCGGUGAAAUGCGUAGAUAUUAGGAAGAACACCGAUGGCGAAGGCAGCUUACUGGACCGUAACUGACGUUGAGGCUCGAAAGUGUGGGGAGCAAACAGGAUUAGAUACCCCAGUAGUC
rnacentral:rRNA from 1 species